GCCCCAUUCGUCCAGCGGCCUAGGACGCCGGCCUUUCACGCCGGUAACACGGGUUCGAAUCCCGUAUGGGGUGCGA
rnacentral:tRNA from 2 species